AGCUCCGCAGCAACACCCCGGAACGUCACUUAGCACGCACCACCUCCCCCACCUUGCCCGCGACCCCGGCGUCCUCACAGCUGCCAGACUCCUAGAAUACACCACCUCGUUUAUGAGUGCCCCACCGCAACUAUCUUCUCCCCAAGACCCGCCAGAGCGCUCACCCCCAACCCCAGCGGGCCUUACCUGGUCAGAGUCAGGUUUAAGAGAACAAAAGCAGAGACAUCAGCAAAAUGGUGGAAUAAGAAGUUUCAGGUCCUCAUUCCCCCACGGAGGCACCGACUUAACCAUAACAUAGGUGCCGACUUGCCCUUGUGAGAGCUCCCGAAACCAGUUAAGAGGUUGCAGCAUCCCAGGAAUAGAAAAAGAUGUGGGAUAGAAGAGACCUGAAUCUGAGAUCCAAACUUCCUGCUAAUUAUUGGAUGUCUGAUUUUGUUGGGCCCUGGUUUCACAAUGGGGUAUCCAACUCUGCCCUUGGCCAUCCACCCAGCAGCACAGACAUGAAAUCCUGCAAGAGAAGGAAAGGAUUAUGGGCUAACUGGUAAACCCCCUCAGUGAAGGUUAUCUUAACAAAACUGGCCCCUUCUCAACUGCCCAAAGCCAGAUUGGUGAUGUGCAAGAAAAAUAAACAAAGAGACCUGUUCACUCCUUGAGAAAGUCCCAGACCUCAUCUUGGCCAAAUGGAUCGCACCGUUCAGCACGAAACUAGUUCACUGGCUCAAGCUGAAGAAAGAAGGGGCAAGGCUGUGCAUUGCAAAUUGAGCUUUUUAAUGAAAUCCGCAUGGCUGCAGUUAUUACCAGACAGAAACAUGCUGAAAGGGAAAAUAUUCCACAACCAUGUGCUGCUUAGCAAGCAUCAGAACAAGAUCUAGGUUAAUUUUGCAUUCUCUGUAUUUCUUUAUUUUGUACAAGAAUUUGUCAAUUUUCUUCUCAAGUCAUUAAAAUUUUUUUCACUAUCAAACACAGUAAUGAACACAAAGCAAUAUUAAUUUGUGUCAUGAGAAAGCAUGGUUUAGAGCACUAUACAGGGUAUUUUGGGUUUUCCCUCUUUGGCCUUUUUUGGUCUAUUGUUUAUAUUCACAGUUAGGCGCAUGUCAUUCCUUACAUUUAACAAAACAAAACAACAAAAGAAACUUUCCUGGUUUAACAAAAGGAGUAGAAAAGUAUUUCUAUGGAUAGAUCAAACAAAAGGAAUCGAAGUGCUGGGACUCCACUCAGAAAUACAAGCCUUUUUCUUUUGUUUGGUAUUUGCAUCAAACUAAUCAAAAGAUGUUUGGAAAAAGCAAGCUAUACAUUACAGGUCAGAGUACACAGACAAAUGAUCAUAAAAUCAUUGUAUAUUCCAAUUUACCUGUUACAUUUCUGUUAUAAUUACCUGCUAUGAGAUCUGAAUGCAAAUGCUUUGAAAUAAAAACAAAAUAUGGUGUUUUUAUUUUGCUAAACUUUCCCUACUAUAUACCAUCACAU